UAGGGAAUCUUCGGCAAUGGACGAAAGUCUGACCGAGCAACGCCGCGUGAGUGAAGAAGGUUUUCGGAUCGUAAAACUCUGUUGUUAGAGAAGAACAAGGACGUUAGUAACUGAACGUCCCCUGACGGUAUCUAACCAGAAAGCCACGGCUAACUACGUGCCAGCAGCCGCGGUAAUACGUAGGUGGCAAGCGUUGUCCGGAAUUAUUGGGCGUAAAGCGAGCGCAGGCGGUUUCUUAAGUCUGAUGUGAAAGCCCCCGGCUCAACCGGGGAGGGUCAUUAGUAACUGGGAGACUUGAGUGCAGAAGAGGAGAGUGGAAUUCCAUGUGUAGCGGUGAAAUGCGUAGAUAUAUGGAGGAACACCAGUGGCGAAGGCGGCUCUCUGGUCUGUAACUGACGCUGAGGAUCGAAAGCGUGGGGAGCAAACAGG
rnacentral:rRNA from 1 species